rnacentral:rRNA from 1 species
GCGUCGAAGGCGUACCGUGAGGUAUUCUGGAGCGUCUGGAAAAGCAAAUGUAGGUAUAAGUAACGAUAAAGGGGGCGGGAAACCCCCUCGCCGAAAGACUAAGGUUUCCUGAUCAACGCUAAUCGGAUCAGGGUCAGUCGGGUCCUAAGGCUCAGCCGAACGGCGAUGCCGAUGGCAGAAACGGUUAAUAUUCCGUUACUACCUUCAGGAGUGACGUGGAGACGCAGUAGUGACAGUGCCGCCAUCUGACGGAAUAGAUGGUUGAAGGGUGUAGGAGUCGAUCAUGGCAGGCAAAUCCACCAUGAGAUCCGAACCUGACAGUAUGCCGCGUCCUUCGGGACAAGGCAAUAGUGCGCGUAAGCAUGCUGCCGAGAAAAUCCGCUAAACUUAAUCCUGCAGGUACCCGUACCGCAAACGGACACACGUAGUCGGGAUGAAUAUUCUAAGGCGCUUGAGUGAUUCACGGUUAAGGAACUAGGCAAACUGACCCUGUAACUUCGGGAUAAAGGGUCCCUACCCUUUUAUGGGAGGGCGCAGAGAAUCGGUCCAGGCAACUGUUUAACAAAAACACAGGGCUGUGCCAAAUCGAAAGAUCCAGUAUACAGCCUGACACCUGCCCGGUGCUGGAAGGUUAAGAGGAGAUGUCAUCGAUAAGAGAAGCGUUGAAUUGAAGCCCCAGUAAACGGCGGCCGUAACUAUAACGGUCCUAAGGUAGCGAAAUUCCUUGUCGGGUAAGUUCCGACCUGCACGAAUGGUGUAAUGAUCUGGACGCUGUCUCAACCGUGAGCUCAGUGAAAUUGUAGUAUCGGUGAAGAUGCCGAUUACCCGCGAUGGGACGAAAAGACCCCGUGAACCUUUACUAUAGCUUAUCAUUGAAUCUGGGCACGUGAUGUGUAGGAUAGGUCGGAGGCUUUGAAGCAGGUACGCCAGUAUUUGUGGAGCCGCUGUUGAAAUACGACCCUUUAUUUGUUUGGAUUCUAACCCGUGGAACGGGGACAUUGAUUGGUGGGUAGUUUGACUGGGGUGGUCGCCUCCAAAAGCGUAACGGAGGCUUCUAAAGGUGCCCUCCGGCCGAUUGGUAACCGGCCUUAGAGUGUAAUGGCAUAAGGGCGCUUGACUGGGAGACUGACAAGUCGAUCAGGUAGGAAACUAGAGCAUAGUGAUCCGGUGUUUCCGUAUGGAAGGGACAUCGCUCAAAGGAUAAAAGGUACUCCGGGGAUAACAGGCUGAUCCCUCCCAAGAGCUCAUAUCGAC